rnacentral:rRNA from 1 species
GAUGAACGCUGGCGGCGUGCCUAAUACAUGCAAGUCGAGCGAACAGACGAGGAGCUUGCUCCUCUGACGUUAGCGGCGGACGGGUGAGUAACACGUGGAUAACCUACCUAUAAGACUGGGAUAACUUCGGGAAACCGGAGCUAAUACCGGAUAAUAUAUUGAACCGCAUGGUUCAAUAGUGAAAGACGGUUUUGCUGUCACUUAUAGAUGGAUCCGCGCCGCAUUAGCUAGUUGGUAAGGUAACGGCUUACCAAGGCGACGAUGCGUAGCCGACCUGAGAGGGUGAUCGGCCACACUGGAACUGAGACACGGUCCAGACUCCUACGGGAGGCAGCAGUAGGGAAUCUUCCGCAAUGGGCGAAAGCCUGACGGAGCAACGCCGCGUGAGUGAUGAAGGUCUUCGGAUCGUAAAACUCUGUUAUUAGGGAAGAACCAAUGUGUAAGUAACUAUGCACGUCUUGACGGUACCUAAUCAGAAAGCCACGGCUAACUACGUG